GUAGCCCCAAGUUUUUUUCGCUGAAAUGCCUAAACAAAACUUGGCCCAUUAACAUCUAUAUUUUCAAUUUUAUUUCUAUUUUUGUAGCCCCAAGUUUUUUUCGCUGAAAUGCCUAAACAAAACUUGGCCCGUUAACAUCUAUAUUUCUCAAUUUUAUUUCUAUUUUUGUAGCCCCAAGUGUUUUUCGCUGAAAUGCCUAAACAAAACUUGGCCCAUUAACAUCUAUAUUUCUCAAUUUUAUUUCUAUUUUUGUAGCCCCAAGUUUUUUUUUCGCUAAAAUGCCUAAACAAAACUUGGCCCAUUAACAUCUAUAUUUCUCAAUUUUAUUUCUAUUUUUGUAGCCCCAAGUUUUUUUUUCGCUGAAAUGCCUAAACAAAACUUGGCCCAUUAACAUCUAUAUUUCUCAAUUUUAUUUCUAUUUUUGUAGCCCCAAGUUUUUUUUCUCGCUAAAAUGCCUAAACAAAACUUGGCCCAUUAACAUCUAUAUUUCUCAAUUUUAUUUCUAUUUUUGUAGCCCCAAGUUUUUUUCUCUCGCUAAAAUGCCUAAACAAAACUUGGCCCAUUAACAUCUAUAUUUCUCAAUUUUAUUUCUAUUUUUGUACCCCCAAGUUUUUUUUUGCUAAAAUGCCUAAACAAAACUUGGCCCAUUAACAUCUAUAUUUCUCAAUUUUAUUUCUAUUUUUGUAGCCCCAAGUUGUUUUUCGCUGAAAUGCCUAAACAAAACUUGGCCCAUUAACAUCUAUAUUUCUCAAUUUUAUUUCUAUUUUUGUAGCCCCAAUUUUUUUUUCGCUGAAAUGCCUAAACAAAACUUGGCCCAUUAACAUCUAUAUUUCUCAAUUUUAUUUCUAUUUUUGUAGCCCCAAGUUUUUUUUCUCGCUAAAAUGCCUAAACAAAACUUGGCCCAUUAACAUCUAUAUUUCUCAAUUUUAUUUCUAUUUUUGUAGCCCCAAGUUUUUUUUCUCGCUAAAAUGCCUAAACAAAACUUGGCCCAUUAACAUCUAUAUUUCUCAAUUUUAUUUCUAUUUUUGUACCCCCAAGUUUUUUUUUGCUAAAAUGCCUAAACAAAACUUGGCCCAUUAACAUCUAUAUUUCUCAAUUUUAUUUCUAUUUUUGUAGCCCCAAGUGUUUUUCGCUGAAAUGCCUAAACAAAACUUGGCCCAUUAACAUCUAUAUUUCUCAAUUUUAUUUCUAUUUUUGUAGCCCCAAGUUUUUUUCGCUGAAAUGCCUAAACAAAACUUGGCCUAUUAACAUCUAUAUUUCUCAAUUUUAUUUCUAUUUUUGUAGCAUCAAGUUUUUUUCGCUGAAAUGCCUAAACCAAACUUGGCCCAUUAACAUCUAUAUUUCUUAAUUUUAUUUCUAUUUUUGUAGCUCCAAGUUUUUUUUCGCUGAAAUGCCUAAACCAAACUUGGCCCAUUAACAUCUAUAUUUCUCAAUUUUAUUUCUAUUUUGUAGCCCCGAGGUUUUUUUUCGCUGAAAUGCAUGAAAGUAACAAUCAGCAACUAUAUUUCUCAAUUUUCUUUGAAAAACAUCUCAAAUUAACUUCUGACAAAAUAUUUUAUGAAUUUUGUCGUUUUCAUACAGUUUAAUCCCCACAUCUCCUCAUACUUUUAUACAAAACUCAAGAGAUCGAAAUUACUUGUUUUUCAUAUUUUUGUCCUAACUAAUUCGAAAGUGUUCUACAUUCUCUAUUUUAAAAGACUUCAUGUCCUUAUUUUUAC